CCUACGGGAGGCAGCAGUGAGGAAUAUUGGUCAAUGGGCGCGAGCCUGAACCAGCCAAGUAGCGUGAAGGAUGACGGCCCUCCGGGUUGUAAACUUCUUUUAUAACGGAAUAAAGGUAUGCACGUGUGGCUAUUUGCAUGUACUUUAUGAAUAAGGCUCGGCUAACUCCGUGCCAGCAGCCGCGGUAAUACGGAGGAUCCGAGCGUUAUCCGGAUUUAUUGGGUUUAAAGGGUGCGUAGUUGGGUUGUUAAGGUAGAUGUGAAAGUUUGCGGCUCAACCGUAAAAUUGCAAUUGAUACUGGCAGUCUUGAGUGCAGUUGAGGUAGGCGGAAUUCGUGGUGUAGCGGUGAAAUGCAUAGAUAUCACGAAGAACUCCGAUGGCGAAGGCAGCUUACUAAACCGCAACUGACAUUGAUGCACGAAAGCGUGGGGAUCAAACAGGAUUAGAUACCCGAGUAGUC
rnacentral:rRNA from 1 species